GUUGGCUUUAGAUGAAUUUGGCUAUUUAUUUUAGGUAUUUUUGACAUAUAGCUCUUCAACGAUUUUCGGUACUUAUACAUCUCCGGAUUUCAAAUGUUUGGCUUUGAGCGUUCCUGAUGAAGGUAAAUCCAGAAAAGCGCUUCGGACGCAAUAAAUUAUUUAACGUGUUGUUUUCCAUUUUUUAUAGCUGACUAUGCGUUAUGGGCUUUGUUCUUUUUUUUAUAUUUAAUAUGAAAUAAAGCAGCAAUCAACUUGCAAAUCAAUAAUACAUCAUUCUGUUUACG
rnacentral:lncRNA from 1 species